GUCCUGUAGAUGCUCUUCUCUGAUGGGAUGGCACGGAUGACUGUCUCUGCCUGCGUUUUAUUUAUCAGUUUGCUUGAUAAAGAUAGUCGUUCGUCGAAAGAUGUGAAUGGAGGAUUUUUUGGGAGUGUGUGAGGUGCUGAAGCAGUGCAUAUUCCACGAACACUGUGCACGGCACUGAUUCAUCUCAUAUAAUGUUGACAAAGAUUAGGUCAGAUUGAGACAGUCACGUGAUGUUAACCAGUCUGGACUGACAACACAAAACCCUUUGAGGUACCUCAGGCACUUCUCCACCUCAAUACAGAUCAACUCCCCUGACUGUGCGAAGUUUCAUCAGCAGCAGCUCCCUGAACAGAUGACUCAACGAUGUGCACAUCAUAAGAACGCCCAGAUAUCUUGGUUAUCUUUAUAAUGUGUGCAGUGAUGAUUUGUAUUGCUUUUGUUGUUGUUUUUCAAAUAUGGCACUAUGCUUUGUUGACUGUUCAGUUCUCAACGCUAAGGUAUUUUUCUAGUGGGCUGGUUGGUUCAAAUUUCAAAGUUUGAAUUUUUACUUGCCCUACCAAAAAAAAAAAAAAAAAAGGUAAUAAAUAAAUUAAAAUAGUUGUUGUGUUUGACCCAUGCAACCUUAAAUAAGAUUACAAUUCUUGAUUCUAAUGUUGAUAGCACAGCAAAAACUACUAGCCUAAUAUAAAUUUCAAAUAUUACUGAAGACACGUCAGUAAAAAAUAAGAACAUAUAAUCAAAUUAUAAGCAAUAUUACAAAUAAAUACAAACAUACAAAUGAAAUAAACAUUGUUUUUCAGGUAGGUCUAACAGUAGUUUUCAGGUACACAAAUUGAAUAAAGUAAUGAAAUGUAAAAUAGCUCUGCAUAUUCUGCACUGUAUAAAUUAAGUAUAGAUUACUCCUUAUUAAAGUAACAAAAGUUAUUCAAUCAACAGCAAUGAGUGAUUUGUUCUUUGCCCUUUCGUAGUUUAACAUUAAAAACAGACAGCAGCAGGAAUAUUAGGCUUGUAAGUCCUAAUGCCCAGCUCAAAUAUAGUUACGUGAGUUUUAUAUCUCAACUGUUUAUGUUAAUUUAAGACAUAACUAUGUUUAGGACAUUAGCCUAGAUGGGUAUUUUGACAUCAUUUUGUGUGAAUUUGUCCAUUUAAGUGCAAUUAAUAGUAUUAGCACACAACGUCUCACAGUGUGCGAGUACUGAAUUGAGCUCUUUCGUGUCCUCUUGCGCUUAAACAUUUAAAUUGGCAAUGAUUAAAACAAAUGCUAA